rnacentral:rRNA from 1 species
AUUGAACGCUGGCGGCAGGCCUAACACAUGCAAGUCGAACGGUAGCACAGAGAGCUUGCUCUCGGGUGACGAGUGGCGGACGGGUGAGUAACGUCUGGGAAACUGCCCGAUGGAGGGGGAUAACUACUGGAAACGGUAGCUAAUACCGCAUAACGUCGCAAGACCAAAGUGGGGGACCUUCGGGCCUCACACCAUCGGAUGUGCCCAGAUGGGAUUAGCUAGUAGGUGGGGUAAUGGCUCACCUAGGCGACGAUACCUAGCUGGUCUGAGAGGAUGACCAGCCACACUGGAACUGAGAACCGGUCCAGACUCCGACGGGAGGCAGCAGUGGGGAAUAUUGCACAAUGGGCGCAAGCCUGAUGCAGCCAUGCCGCGUGUAUGAAGAAGGCCUUCGGGUUGUAAAGUACUUUCAGCGGGGAGGAAGGCGGUGAAGUUAAUAACUUCACCGAUUGACGUUACCCGCAGAAGAAGCACCGGCUAACUCCGUGCCAGCCGCCGCAGUAA